rnacentral:lncRNA from 1 species
GUUUUUCUCCCGGUGCAGGAAAACAUGAAGAACGGGGAAAGUAGCUGCCGCAUGCCAAUGUGAAACUCCGAGGAGUCUAGCCAUUCUGAUCUGGCCUUCCAGGUCAUUAGGAGGCUCUGCCAUCGUGUGAGGAGGGAAAGCCUGCUGUCUGGAGAGCACACUGGUCUCCAGCGUGGGGAGAGAGAGCACUUUCGGGCUUUGCUGAGGAGGGUCUUCAGAAAAAAGAUGUGCAGCUCGGACAUGGAGGGCAGAAGGUGCUCAGGAAGGAUCUUCUGCAUGCAGGAGCCUCCUCUCUCGAAGGGUGUUCUCCAAUCAUGAGCUUAUUUGCUGUUUACAUGCCCGAGGAGGACUGACCUUAGCAGCUAUGAUGACCUCAUUUAUCACUGUGGAUAAGCACUUGGCCAGGGUCUCAGCCAGCACCCCAGGCCCAGCCUCCUGGUUUACUCAUUUCUGGGGGUGGUGGCAUCUGCCCACUGUCCUGAACUUUCCUCUGCUUGGGUAGGGACAGGGAGCCCCAGCAGCACUUGUUCCAGGAUGACCCAGCAAAUUGCAAGGUGGCAUUUGGCCUUUUCCUCAGCAAUUGCCAGACUUUGUCCCAGGGUGAGGAGGAAGCCAAUGGAAGAGCUGGGGUGAGGAGAUCAAAGACCUUUCCAGAGAUUCAGGCAGGGGCCCAAACCAAGGGCAUUUCCAGGCGGGCACUGGGACCAGCCCCAGGGACACGCCAACGCACUGCUGGGGCCAAGGGGAAAGGUUGGUUUCAAAACCACAUGUGCGGCAGCCUCACCACUGAGUCAUGCUUGUGAGGCCUGCUGGAGACCAAAGACAGGGGCUACAAGCUCAAAACCGCCUGGUUAGUGCUGACUCUAUUGAUUUCCUGGCCUUCCACUUCCAAACCUUCCUUGGAUGGCUAAACUCCUUCUGGAAGACACACCUGUUUUUUAUAUUUGCCUGGUAUACCUCACUUCUUUGAGUGACAGCACCCCAGAGAUCCCCUUCUCCACUCUCACUCUUUGUAGUUAAGGUGAGGUUGGAUUCUCUCCUCUCUGCACCCCUCAACCCCCCUACCCCCAGCACUAAGGACCCAGGCUCAGCCAAUCAGAAUAUCUCUCAUGCCCAUCAUGGGCUCUAGGAUGGGAGCAUGAUGGAAGAGUGGCCAUUGAGGAUCAGUUCCAAGACUUUUGUGAGAAAUGCGGGGGAAGAGACCCUCUCUUUUCCUAUAGGGAUUGCUCACUGUGCAAAUAUGCCAGCCUGGAACAGCUGGGGCCUCCAUGUGCACAGUGGAGAAUCAGAGAAUCAGGUCACCCCACAGGAAAGCAGGACCAUAAUGGGGUACUAGGCAGAGACCUAGCCUCCUGGCCAUGCACCUCUGAGCUGUGUGGACUGAUUCUUUUUUGCUUAAGCAUGCUUUUGUUUUCAUUUCAUUUAUUUAUUUAUUUUCAGACACAGUCUUGCUCUGUUGUCCAGGCUGGACUGCAGUGGUGUGAUUUCAAUCUCAGCUCACUGCAACCUCUGCCUCCCCGGUUCAAGUGAGUCUUCUGCCUCAGCCUCCUGAGUAGCUGAAACUACAGGCAUGUGCCACCACGCCAGGCUAAUUUUUGUAUUUUUAGUAGAGAUAGGGUUUCACCAUAUUGGCCAGGCUGGUCUUGAACUCCUGACCUUGUGAUCCACCCGCCUCAGCCUCCCAAAGUGCUGGGAUUACAGGUGUGAGCCACCGCGCCCGGUGAAGCAUGCUUUCAAGUGGGGUUUCUGUCAAUUGCAAACAGAAGAUUUCUGACUAAUAUUCCCUGGAUAAUAUUUAUUCUACCUUCCUCUCCAUUCUUACUCUCUGCCAUAGCUUAAGCCUCAUCAUCCACUUCCACAUCUCCUACCUUAGAUGAUUUUAGCAGACUACCAACUCAGAAUUACAAUGGAAUCACUGCAGUAGAUGACUAACUGCUAUUUGCAUGCAUGUUUUAUUUGUGAAUGUGACCUUACAAAUCGAUUUUCAUGUCUCACUGAUGAAGGCACCAAGCGUCAGGGAGACAAGGGACUUGUGUGCAGCCGGUACUGCCAACAAGAAGGCCCAAUCAAGAUCCUCCCACAACAAGAGCAGAUUGUGAGGGCCUGGGCACCCCAGCCAACAGGCUGGAAAUGCAGGAAGCCAUCUGGAGCCAUGUGCUGAGUCACAGGGCCCAGAGAAAAACAAGAACAUCGUGACGUCAGAGCAGGGGUGGGGAGAAAUCUCCCUCGAGAUCUCCGUGGGCACCGGAAAUAGAAACUGCUCCCUUUGAAGCAUCUAUUAGAAGAUCCAAGUCUCUAACAGAUCACCAUGAGAUUUCAAUUCAGUUCCUAUUAAGCACCAACUGAACGCAUGUGAGAAUGUCAGGGAAUCAGUUGGUGAAGAGGCAACCGUUUUAAUUUAAUUUUAUUUAUUUGAACAGAGUAAGCCUCUGUUCAAUCCUGACUCAUCUUCUUUCUUCUCUUACUACCCAUUUGCCCUUGAGCAGUUCACUUAAACUUUCUGACC